rnacentral:misc_RNA from 1 species
GGCCGUGUGCCUUGCGCCGGGAAACCACGCAAGGGAUGGUGUCAAAUUCGGCGAAACCUAAGCGCCCGCCCGGGCGUAUGGCAACGCCGAGCCAAGCUUCGCAGCCAUUGCACUCCGGCUGCGAUGAAGGUGUAGAGACUAGACGGCACCCACCUAAGGCAAACGCUAUGGUGAAGGCAUAGUCCAGGGAGUGGCGA